GAUAGUUUUGAGCUUGUGACAACAACUCUUGCGUCAGCGGUCCCGCUAACAUCGGCAAAUGCUUUGUUUUCAAGCGAACGUUAGCGAUGAACCGAAAAACCCAACCGACGACGUUUAAUAAUCGCCUCCAGACCGAAAAUCUGUUUAUAUCUAUGGUGAGAUCUGUAGCUGCUUCGUGAAUCAACAGAUGAAGUCUGAACCGCGAAACCAGCGGCUUGCGGCUGUUAAAUCAGGCUCUCGUUGCCACUUUGUUCCGUCGUCAGCAACAUUGUCUUUCGAAGGUGUCCAUUUCCAAUCAUCAGUGUUGGUCAGUUCCAAAAUCUCGCCUACGAGAUGAGCCACAUAUUGCGAAUACCGCCGGUGGUCGGACCAGAGCCAUGCCAAUAGCCGUGCACCAAUGAGAGCGGCUUGCAGCUCAAGACGGGGAAUGGAAACAAACCUUAG